rnacentral:tRNA from 1 species
AAGGUAUCUAGGUGGAGGUCUGGGUUUCUAACCUUUGACCUAAGUGGUUAAAUUCCAUUUAUACUUUG